rnacentral:miRNA from 1 species
AUACUAGAGUGACGGUGAAGAUGGUGGUGACAAUGAUGGUGCUGGUCAUGAUAAUUUUACCAGCUGCAACACCACCACGCAGCUAUCACCACCACCAUUCUCAUCAUUAUCAUCACCAUGAUCAUCAUCAUCA